GAAUAUUGGACAAUGGGCGCAAGCCUGAUCCAGCCAUGCCGCGUGUGUGAAGAAGGCCUUCGGGUUGUAAAGCACUUUUGUACGGGAAGAAAUCUCUUGGGUUAAUACCCUGGGAGCAUGACGGUACCGUACGAAUAAGCACCGGCUAACUUCUGCCCGGCAGCCGCGGUAAUACGAAGGGUGCAAGCGUUACUCGGAAUUACUGGGCGUAAAGCGUGCGUAGGUGGUUCGUUAAGUCUGCCGUGAAAGCCCCGGGCUCAACCUGGGAAUUGCGGUGGAUACUGGCGGACUAGAGUGCGGUAGAGGGUGGUGGAAUUUCCGGUGUAGCAGUGAAAUGCGUAGAGAUCGGGAGGAACAUCUGUGGCGAAGGCGGCCACCUGGACCAGCACUGACACUGAGGCACGAAAGCGUGGGGAGCAAACAGG
rnacentral:rRNA from 1 species